AAUGUAAAUUCUAAGAUGUGUGAAUUCAAUCUCGCUCUAAUACGAUUGUAAGAAAAUUUGAUGCAAAAGUCAUUUUUAUUGAGUCCUACACAUCUUAAGGAAGGAAAAAACAUGAUUGAGAGACCCCUUGAAAAAAAUUCUUAAUUCUCUAACUAACUUCUUCUCUCUAUCUAACUAAAAUGUACAAGAAUGAAAAACUUUAGCUGAUGGAAGACUCUUAU
rnacentral:lncRNA from 1 species